GACGAACGCUGGCGGCGUGCUUAACACAUGCAAGUCGAACGAUGAAGCGCCAGCUUGCUGGUGUGGAUUAGUGGCGAACGGGUGAGUAACACGUGAGUAACCUGCCCCCUACUCUGGGAUAAGCCUGGGAAACUGGGUCUAAUACUGGAUAUGACCAAUCAUUGCAUGGUGUGUUGGUGGAAAGAUUUUUUGGUGGGGGAUGGACUCGCGGCCUAUCAGCUUGUUGGUGGGGUAAUGGCCUACCAAGGCGACGACGGGUAGCCGGCCUGAGAGGGCGACCGGCCACACUGGGACUGAGACACGGCCCAGACUCCUACGGGAGGCAGCAGUGGGGAAUAUUGCACAAUGGGCGAAAGCCUGAUGCAGCGACGCCGCGUGAGGGAUGACGGCCUUCGGGUUGUAAACCUCUUUCACCAGGGACGAAGCUAACGUGACGGUACCUGGAGAAGAAGCACCGGCUAACUACGUG
rnacentral:rRNA from 1 species